GAAACAUUCACCAACAGUAAACAACGCUGGUCGGACACAGGGAUACCACGUCAACAUGAAACUUGUGUGUCUUCUUCUUGUGUGUGUCAUUGUGACACUGAAUGCGCAAACAGCCACAACACAAACUGCAGCUCCUCAAACACAGCCUCCAUACCAACCGUACAACCCCUGGAUGUAUCAACAACCCUUUUACUUGAACCCAAGGACUUUCUUUUGGUACUGGCUGUUCUCACAGAAUAAUUAGGUGUGGGAUGUGAUACUGAAUGGUUGAUUGUAAAUUACAGUCAUUCCCUGGAACUGUCCAUUGUACAGAUGGCGUGACAUGUGACGUCACAUUACAGAUGAUAAUAUUUGCCCUGAAGAUACGCAAAAUUCAUUAAAUUCUUUGCAGAAACA
rnacentral:lncRNA from 1 species